GUGGGGAAUUUUGCGCAAUGGGGGAAACCCUGACGCAGCAACGCCGCGUGGAGGAUGAAGUCCCUUGGGAUGUAAACUCCUUUCGAUCGGGACGAUUAUGACGGUACCGGAAGAAGAAGCACCGGCUAACUCUGU
rnacentral:rRNA from 1 species